AAUACUAUCGAUACGGGUUGUGGGAGCAAGAUCCCGGAGAUGGAUUCUGAGACAUGAAUCCAGGCCCUACGGGGCGCAGCAGGCGCGCAAACUUUACAAUGCGAGCAAUCGUGAUAAGGAAACCCUGAGUGCCUGUCGAUGCAGGCUGUUCAUAUAUCUAAAUCAUAUGUGAAGAAAGGGCAGGGCAAGACCGGUGCCAGCCGCCGCGGUAAUACCGGCUGCUCGAGUGAUGGCCACUAUUACUGGGUUUAAAGCGUCCGUAGCUUGACUGUUAGGUCUCUUGGGAAAUCUUCGCGCUCAACGUGAAGGCGUCUAAGAGAUACCGGCAGUCUUGGAACUGGGAGAGGUAAACCGUACUUCGGGGGUAGGAGUGAAAUCUUGUAAUCCUCGAGGGACGACCUAUGGCGAAGGCAGUUUACCAGAACAGCUUCGACAGUGAGGGACGAAAGCUGGGGGAGCAAACGGGAUUAGAUACCCCGGUAGUCCCAGCCGUAAACAAUGUGCGUUAGGUGAGUAUUGGGAAUUCCUGCAGC
rnacentral:rRNA from 1 species